GUGUGCUAUGAUAACACACAAAUUCGUGAAGUGUUCCAUAUUUUU
rnacentral:snRNA from 1 species